UACGGAGGGUGCAAGCGUUGUCCGGAAUCAUUGGGCGUAAAGAGUUCGUAGGCGGCACGUAAAGUCUGGUGUUAAAGGCAGAGGCUCAACCUCUGUACGGCACUGGAUACUUGCGAGCUAGAAUGCGGUAGAGGUAAAGGGAAUUCCUGGUGUAGCGGUGAAAUGCUUAGAUAUCAGGAGGAACAUCGGUGGCGAAGGCGGAUUGCUGGACAGUAACUGACGCUGAGGCGCGAAAGCGUGGGGAGCAAACAGG
rnacentral:rRNA from 1 species